rnacentral:misc_RNA from 1 species
CGGGCGUUACUCCAACCCUUGUGGAGGAGGACGUCGAAGGUGGGGCUGAUGACUGGGGUGAAGUCGUAACAAGGUAGCCGUACCGGAAGGUGCGGCUGGAUCACCUCCUAACAGGGAGACAAACAACGAUUUUGAUGCCUGAGUGCUUUUAUUCUUAGGCCGAAAUCCUGUCACCUUAGGUCGAUCGGUACCUCAGCUUUGAAGUCAAGAAUGUGCAGCGAUGCAAGUUGCUUGAUGGAGAUUCUUAGUUCCUAAACUUUGUCUAGGUCACACCCCAAAAGGGAUGAGACUCCUGGGCCAUUAGCUCAGGUGGUUAGAGCGCACCCCUGAUAAGGGUGAGGUCCCUGGUUCAAGUCCAGGAUGGCCCAUUCGGUGUUGGGGGUUUAGCUCAGUUGGUAGAGCGCCUGCUUUGCAAGCAGGAUGUCAGGAGUUCGAGUCUCCUAACCUCCACUGACCGAACUUUGUCCCCAGCUUCAUUUGAUGGAGUUGAGCUCGAUUGGAGUGUGAUUUAGAUGUGUCCGCUGGAAGACCCCAGCUUCCUGUCAUUCUAAGGAUUGAUCGAAUCAAUUUUUAGUUGAUAAGAUGCUGGGCUCGAACUGAGCAAUCAGUUUGGAGUUCUAGCAGAACCUUGACAACUGCAUAGGUGAGUCUGGAAAGAAUAAAGCAUCUCAUGGAUGCAUCAUUCUUUUUUGGAUGAUGUUUGAUUCUUGAGCAAGAGCCGAGACUCCACCACGUUCUUCUGAUUGUGUCGAGCAAUUAGGAGUUUGAUCUUUGAUUCAGCAAUGAAUCAGAGAGAAUCCGUUUCAACGACGGCAAGCGUGAUGGAGAUUAAUUGGUCAGAAAAAAGG